rnacentral:rRNA from 1 species
AGAAAUACUUAGUGGCAGACGGGUGAGUAACAUGUGGGUAUCUUCCCUAUGGCCUGGAAUAAUACGAGGAAACUUGUGCUAAUACCGGAUAAGUCUUUACGGAGAAAGCUUUAUGCACCAUUGGAUGAGCCCGCACUUGAUUAGUUUGUUGGUAGGGUAAUGGCCUACCAAGACUUUGAUCAAUAGCUGAUUUGAGAGGAUGAUCAGCCACAUUGGGACUGAGACACGGCCCAAACUCCUACGGGAGGCAGCAGUGGGGAAUCUUGCACAAUGGAGGAAACUCUGAUGCAGCGAUGCCGCGUGAGUGAAGAAGGCCCUUGGGUUGUAAAGCUCUUUCGUCGGGGAAGAAAAUGACUGUACCCGAAUAAGAAGGUCCGGCUAACUUCGUGCCAGCAGCCGCGGUAAUACGAAGGGACCUAGCGUAGUUCGGAAUUACUGGGCUUAAAGAGUUCGUAGGUGGUUGAAAAAGUUGGUGGUGAAAUCCCAGAGCUUAACUCUGGAACUGCCAUCAAAACUUUUCAGCUAGAGUUUGAUAGAGGAAAGCAGAAUUUCUAGUGUAGAGGUGAAAUUCGUAGAUAUUAGAAAGAAUACCAAUUGCGAAGGCAGCUUUCUGGAUCAUUACUGACACUGAGGAACGAAAGCAUGGGUAG